rnacentral:rRNA from 1 species
ACGCUCGACACCUACGGAGGCAGCAGUUGGGAAUAUUGGACAAUGGAGGAAACCUCUGAUCCAGUGACGCCGCGUGAAGGAAGAAGGUCUUCGGAUUGUAAACUUAUUUUGUCAGGGAAGAAAAAAUGACUGUACCUGAAGAAAAAGCACCGGCUAACUACGUGCCAGCAGCCGCGGUAAUCUGAGCGGGCUGGCAAGGC